UACGGAGGGUGCGAGCGUUGUCCGGAAUCAUUGGGCGUAAAGGGCGCGUAGGUGGCCCGGUCAGUCUUUGGUGAAAGCGCGGGGCUCAACCCUGCGUCGGCCAGGGAUACUGCCGCGGCUCGAGCACUGUAGAGGCAGGCGGAAUUCCGGGUGUAGCGGUGGAAUGCGCAGAUAUCAGGAGGAACACCGAUGGCGAAGGCAGGUCUCGUGGGCAUUAACUGGCGCUGAGGAGCGAAAGCAUGGGGAGCGAACAGG
rnacentral:rRNA from 1 species